UGGGGAAUAUUGGACAAUGGAGGAAACUCUGAUCCAGCAAUUCUGUGUGUGUGAAGAAGGUUUUAGGACUGUAAAACACUUUUAGUAGGGAAGAAAAAAAUGACGGUACCUACAGAAGAAGCAACGGCUAAAUACGUGCCAGCAGCCGCGGUAAUACGUAUGUUGCGAGCGUUAUCCGGAAUUAUUGGGCUUAAAGGGCAUCUAGGCGGUAAGACAAGUUGAAGGUGAAAACCUGUGGCUCAACCAUAGGCUUGCCUACAAAACUGUUGAACUAGAGUACUGGAAAGGUGGGUGGAACUACACGAGUAGAGGUGAAAUUCGUAGAUAUGUGUAGGAAUGCCGAUGAUGAAGAUGACUCCCUGGACAGAAACUGACGCUGAAGUGCGAAAGCUAGGGGGGCAAACAGG
rnacentral:rRNA from 1 species